rnacentral:rRNA from 1 species
CCGGCGACCGGCGCACGGGUGAGUAACACGUAUGCGACCUGCCCCCCGCAGGGGGAUAACCGGGAGAAAUCCCGACUAAUACCGCGUAACGCCGCGGACCUGCAUGGGUCUGCGGCCAAAGGAAGCGAUUCCGGCGGGGGAUGGGCAUGCGGCGCAUUAGCUAGUCGGCGGGGUAACGGCCCACCGAGGCGACGAUGUGUAGGGGUUCUGAGAGGAAGGUCCCCCACACUGGUACUGAGACACGGACCAGACUCCUACGGGAGGCAGCAG